UACGUAGGGUGCAAGCGUUACUCGGAAUUACUGGGCGUAAAGCGUGCGCAGGCGGUUCGGAAAGAAAGAUGUGAAAUCCCAGGGCUUAACCUUGGAACUGCAUUUUUAACUGCCGGGCUAGAGUAUGUCAGAGGGGGGUAGAAUUCCACGUGUAGCAGUGAAAUGCGUAGAGAUGUGGAGGAAUACCGAUGGCGAAGGCAGCCCCCUGGGCCGAUACUGACGCUCAGGCACGAAAGCGUAGGGAGCAAACAGG
rnacentral:rRNA from 1 species